ACUCCUACGGGAGGCAGCAGUAGGGAAUCUUCCGCAAUGGACGAAAGUCUGACGGAGCAACGCCGCGUGAGCGAUGAAGGCCUUCGGGUCGUAAAGCUCUGUUGUUAGGGAAGAACAAGUAUCGGAGUAACUGCCGGUACCUUGACGGUACCUAACCAGAAAGCCACGGCUAACUACGUGCCAGCAGCCGCGGUAAU
rnacentral:rRNA from 2 species